AUUGAACGCUGGCGGCAGGCCUAACACAUGCAAGUCGAACGAGUGGCGGACGGGUGAGUAAUGUCUGGGAAACUGCCUGAUGGAGGGGGAUAACUACUGGAAACGGUAGCUAAUACCGCAUACCAUCGGAUGUGCCCAGAUGGGAUUAGCUAGUGGGUGGGGUAACGGCUCACCUAGGCGACGAUCCCUAGCUGGUCUGAGAGGAUGACCAGCCACACUGGAACUGAGACACGGUCCAGACUCCUACGGGAGGCAGCAGUGGGGAAUAUUGGACAAUGGGCGAAAGCCUGAUCCAGCCAUGCCGCGUGUAUGAAGAAGGUCUUCGGGUUGUAAAGCACUUUAAGUUGGGAGGCGUUACCAACAGAAGAAGCACCGGCUAACUCCGUGCCAGCAGCCGCGGUAAUUC
rnacentral:rRNA from 1 species